ACUACGGGUGGCAGCAGUGGGGGAUAUUGCACAAUGGGGGGAACCCUGAUGCAGCGACGCCGCGUGGGUGAAGGAGGGUUUCGGCGCGUAAAGCCCUAUCGGCAGGGAAGAAGAUGACGGUACCUGACCAAGAAGCCCCGGCUAACUACGGGCCAGCAGCCGCGGUAAUACGUUGGGGGAAAGCGUUAUCCGGAUUUACUGGGUGUACAGGGGGCGAAGACGGCAAUGAAAGCCAGGAGUGAAAGCCCGGGGCCCCACCCCGGGACUGCUCUUGGUACUGCCUGGCUGGAGUACAGGAGGGGCAGGCGGAAUUCCUAGUGUAGCGGUGACAUGCGUAGCUAUUAGGAGGAACACCGGUGGCGAAGGCGGCCUGCUGGACUGUGACUGACGUUGCGGCCCGAAUGCGUGGGGAGCAAACAGGAUUAGAUACCCGGGUAGUC
rnacentral:rRNA from 1 species